rnacentral:rRNA from 1 species
UACGGAGGAUCCAAGCGUUAUCCGGAUUUAUUGGGUUUAAAGGGUGCGUAGGCGGCUUAUUAAGUCAGGGGUGAAAGACGGUGGCUCAACCAUCGCAGUGCCCUUGAUACUGAUGAGCUUGAAUAAACUAGAGGUAGGCGGAAUGUGACAAGUAGCGGUGAAAUGCAUAGAUAUGUCACAGAACACCGAUUGCGAAGGCAGCUUACUAUGGUUUUAUUGACGCUGAGGCACGAAAGCGUGGGGAUCAAACAGGAUUAGAAACCCCCGUAGUCC